rnacentral:lncRNA from 10 species
GAGAGCCCUCCAGCAUCCAGUCUGGUAGUAAGAAUUACUAUUACUGUGCAGAAGAACUGAUACCAUUGCUGCAAGUGGGGCCAGAAGAAGAAGUCUCUAGGAAAAUGGAUUGUGGAAGGGUGGAUUUCCCUCAUGAUAUUCUCUGGCAGGUCAUGUCAAAGCACGAUUUCACAUACUGCUGCGUGGCCAAGUAGGAUUGUUAUCUUGCAAGGUAGGAAGAAGACAAGAAGAAUGAAUAAAAUAUGUGCUUGGGAAUCAUCUGUGCCUCAAAUCUGAGAAGGAAAAUCUAUCAUCAGGUCCACAGAGUACAGAUAAAGCUGAAAAUGAAAUCAAAGUCCAAAGGCUGGAAGUGAUACUGAUGCAAGAAUACAACAGGCUGGGAAAAGAAAUGGAAAAGCUAAAACAAAAACAAAAACAAACUGAUAAAAAAGGCAUCCAAGGCAUGUGCCAUGGAUGAGGUUAGAAGCUUGGAUACUUGUUUUCUUAGUAGAUAGCCACAUGUUCAAGGGAGGAAGAGAAUAUUUUCAAGUUUCUUCUGAGAACUAGAUUCCAUGACAUAGGUUGUGUGCAAUCUAUUAAUGUUCUAGGAUAAGUCUUCACCUAGUAUUCUCAUUUCCUUAAACUUUUCCCUUUGGAGCUGUGAUACCAUGGUGCUUUUGUUCUCUCUUUACCUCCUUAAUAGAUAGUACAUGUCCUUUACAGGACUCACUUCCUCUUAUGCUUCUUAAAUUCUGAUAUUCAUAAGAAUGAAAUGGAGGUAUUGCAAAGAAAGAAGCCAUGUCGUUCAUACCAAUGUUUUUUUUUUUUUAAAGUAGCCUUUUUUAUCCUUUGGGAUCUCAUUUCAUCAAAUCUCUUUUCUCCAACAUGUCAUGCUGUAUUUGCAAGAAAGUGUUUCAGUGUUUAUUUACACCCCCAGUUUUGAAUUUCUUACAGACAUUGACAAUUCAUUGAAAUAAGAAAGGAAUCUAUCAAUGAAUAAAUUCAUUCAUGCAUAAGUGGAUUAUUGUCUCCAUGCAAGUUGUUCGGAAAGGUCCUUUAAAGAUAUAUUUGAAAUAUAGCCUAGAAGCUUAAUUCUUUUCAGAAUUGCCUCUUUAUCUCACUUAUAUAUUCACAUCAUAUAUGAUAUCAUCUAUGCUUUCAUCCUGUUAGAGGCCACCGUCAUUUCUUGUCAAAAUAUUAGAAAUUGGUCUCUGAGUCUAUUUUGACUCCAUCCAAUCCGUUCUGACAAUGAAGGUACAGACAGUUUUAAACAAAAUCUGAUUCUGCCAAACCUCCUUCCACCUCCCUCAUUAAAACCUUCAGUUAAUCUCCAUUGCUUAGAAUGAAUUUAAAAAUACUUAUCAUAAAUCAAAUAAGUAUUUGAAAUGUGUGGAGAGCAGCCUAUUAGUACCCUUGAUGUAAUAUUUUACAAGAAAUAGAAGAGAAAGAAGAGAACAUUCCAAAGGACAUAAUCCAUAUUUAAGAUUAUUAUUUCAGAAAACGUGUGUGUGUGUGUGUGUGUGUGUGUGUGUGUGUAUGUGUGUGUGUGUUUGUAUGUGUGAGUGAGUUUAUGCAGGGGUCUGAGUUUGCAAUGUAAAAUGCAACGUUUGCUAUGUAUUCUAGUUGAAUGAUCUUGUACUGGACUCCACCGACAUUGCCAUUUUGAUUUCCUGGUAUUCUUUGGAGCCUAGUAGCCACGCUCAUCUUCUCUUCCAGCUUAGCCAUUUUAUCUUUUCUAUCUCAUGGAUUUAUUACAUCAUCUCUAAAAAGUUAUUGUUUCAUCUCUUUGCCUACCUAAAUUUUCCUCUAGUUCAUAGCAUAAACAAAACUUCUUCAGUGAAAAUUUAUUGAUCCAAAGAUGACAUUAGUUCUUCCUUUUUUAUUUUAUCCUAACACUCUAAAUGUUAGUUUUUUCCUAACAUGGUCUUCCUGGCUCAUUAUUUAUUCAACAAUGUUAUAUAAUUAUUGUGAACCUAUUAUUAGCCUCAAACUUUAUUCAUAGCUUUUAGUGCAAAAACAAUGACCUUACCUUGAUCUGUGAGAAAUUUCAGGAUAUUUCUGUUGUAAUGAUGGG